rnacentral:lncRNA from 1 species
GCAGCCUUCAUUUUCACGCUCAACACAAAUGUGCAGUGUCGCAGGUCCAAUCUGGAGACUGUAAUCAGUGGCUAAACACAGUGCCUAAGAGGGCUGGGACCGCGAGAGCACAGUAACUCAGGAGGCGUACCCAGUCCAGCCUUCAGCCGCCCCUCUCCCCUUGCACCCUGCGGCUUCUAACCCCGCCCCUCCCGAGACCCCGCCCAGAUGCCGACGUCAGUUGUUAUGUCUUGACUGGGGCCGCAGCUGCAGCGGGUCCAGUGCUCCGGGGGCGACGGCCGUGGCCUGAGGAGGCGGCAGGGACGGUGGCCGCGGUUGGCGCGGCGCAUCCGCACAGGGCUAGUCCCCGCGCAGCUACGCAACUGACAGGAAGCCUCCCUGGAGAGCCGCGUCGGGGCCUAGUGUUAUUUGCUUUUUGCUUUUUCUCCCUUCACGACUGUGGUCUCGCGCUCUUCCUCAGCGGGAGCCGCCGCGACGCCCCCUCGCGGGCCGCCGGCCUGAGAGGCGCCGCCCGCGGGAACCUGGAGCCGCCGCCGGGCCUGGGCGGCCG